AAGAGAGUUGGAAAGCUCCGCUAUAAAGUGUAACAGCCACGUAGUUGAAACGAUAAUUCGAUAGAUAUGAUCCAGAGUACCACGGGACACGUGAAACCCUGUGGGAAGCAGGAGGGACCAUCCUCCAAGCCUAAAUACUACCUAGUGACCGAUAGCGCAUAGUACCGUGAGGGAAAGGUGAAAAGAACCCCGGGAGGGGAGUGAAAUAGAACCUGAAACCCUGCACUUACAAGCUGUGGGAGCACAUUUCUUGUGUGACCGCGUACUUUUUGUAGAACGGGCCAACGAGUUACGUUAAGUAGCAAGGUUAAGCACUUAAGGUGUGGAGCCGUAGCGAAAGCGAGUCUUAAAUGGGCGAUUUAAGUUACUUGACGUAGACCCGAAACCGGGCGACCUAUCCAUGAGCAGGUUGAAGCGAAAGUAAAAUUUCGUGGAGGACCGAACCCACGAGCGUUGAAAAGCUCGGGGAUGACUUGUGGAUAGCGGUGAAAUUCCAAUCGAGCCCGGAGAUAGCUGGUUCUCCCCGAAAUAGCUUUAGGGCUAGCCUUGAGCUUAGAGAAACGGAGGUAGAGCACUGAAUGUCCUAGGGGGUAUUGCACUUACCGAAGACUAUCAAACUCCGAAUGCCGUCUUCUUUUGCUCAGGAGUCAGACUGUGGGUGAUAAGAUUCAUAGUCAAGAGGGCAACAGCCCAGAUCGUCAGCUAAGGUCCCUAAAUGUACGUUAAGUGGUAAAGGAUGUGGGAUUGCACAGACAACCAGGAUGUUGGCUUAGAAGCAGCCACUCAUUUAAAGAGUGCGUAAUAGCUCACUGGUCGAGUGAUCCUGCGCCGAAAAUUUCCGGGGCUAAAACGUACUACCGAAGCUACGGCAUCAUUUAUGAUGGGUAGGGGAGCUUCGUAUGCAGGCUGAAGCAUGACCGUAAGGACAUGUGGACAGUAUACGAGUGAGAAUGUUGGCAUGAGUAGCGAGACGUGGGUGAGAAUCCCACGGGCCGUAAACCCAAGGUUUCCAGGGGAAGGUUCGUCCGCCCUGGGUUAGUCGGGACCUAAGCCGAGGCCGAAAGGCGUAGGUGAUGGACAACAGGUUGAUAUUCCUGUACCACCAAUAACCGUUUGAGGAAUGGGAUGACACAGUAGGAUAAGCUAACCACACUGUUGGUUAUGUGUGGCUAAGUACUGAGGCAGUCAAGAUAGGCAAAUCCGUCUUGAUAAUGCUAGGGUACGAUGGGGAGCUCUUUAGAGCGAAGUAGCUGAUUUCACACUGUCGAGAAAAGUCUCUACCGAGGUUAAAGGUGCCCGUACCGUAAACCGACACAGGUGGGUGAGGAGAGUAUCCUAAGGCCAGCGAGAGAACUAUUGUUAAGGAACUCGGCAAAAUGACCCCGUAACUUAGGGAUAAGGGGUGCCAUCCUUUGGAUGGCCGCAGAGAAUAGGCCCAAGCGACUGUUUACCAAAAACACAGGUUUCUGCUAAGUCGCAAGACGAUGUAUAGGAGCUGACGCCUGCCCGGUGCUGGAAGGUUAAGGGGAUCUGUUAGGAGCAAUCCGAAGCAGUGAACUUAAGCCCCAGUAAACGGCGGCCGUAACUAUAACGGUCCUAAGGUAGCGAAAUUCCUUGUCGGGUAAGUUCC
rnacentral:rRNA from 1 species